ACUGAAAUAGCUCAGUUGGGAAGGCGUUAGACUAUAGAUCGAAAAGUCCCUGGUUCGAUCUCGGGUUCGGGUA
rnacentral:tRNA from 1 species